GCGUCGGCGGGAGGCUCCGACUCGCGGUCCACGCCUUGGCCGCUGGGACCGCGCCGAGCCACUGGCGAGACCGACCCGCGUGCUC
rnacentral:ncRNA from 1 species